rnacentral:rRNA from 1 species
AGCGAACGCUGGCGGCAUGCCUAACACAUGCAAGUCGCACGGGGGGGCUUCGGCCUCCCAGUGGGGGACGGGUGAGGAACGCGUAGGGACCUGUCGAGGGGUGGGGGAUAACCGCGGGAAACUGCGGCUAAUACCGCAUGACGCCGCGGCGUGACAGCCGGGGCCAAAGGCGAAAGCCGCCCGCCGAGGGGCCUGCGUCCGAUUAGCUGGUUGGCGGGGUAGCGGCCCACCAAGGCGUCGAUCGGUAGCUGGUCUGAGAGGGUGAUCAGCCACACCGGGACUGAGACACGGCCCGGACUCCUACGGGAGGCAGCAGUGGGGAAUAUUGGACAAUGGGCGCAAGCCUGAUCCAGCAAUGCCGCGUGGGUGAAGAAGGUCUUCGGAUUGUAAAGCCCUUUCGGCGGGGACGAUGGUGACGGUACCCGCAGAAGAAGCCCCGGCUAACUUCGUG